AUUGAACGCUGGCGGAAUGCUUUGCACAUGCAAGUCGAACGGUAGAGGGGGCAACCCCUCGAGAGUGGCGAACGGGUGAGUAAUAUAUCGGAACGUGCCCAGUCGUGGGGGAUAACGUGGCGAAAGUUACGCUAAUACCGCAUACGAUCUAAGGAUGAAAGCGGGGGAUCGCAAGACCUCGCGCGAUUGGAGCGGCCGAUAUCAGAUUAGGUAGUUGGUGGGGUAAAGGCUCACCAAGCCAACGAUCUGUAGCUGGUCUGAGAGGACGACCAGCCACACUGGAACUGAGACACGGUCCAGACUCCUACGGGAGGCAGCAGUGGGGAAUUUUGGACAAUGGACGCAAGUCUGAUCCAGCCAUUCCGCGUGCAGGAUGAAGGCCCUCGGGUUGUAAACUGCUUUUGUACGGAACGAAAAGGUCUCUCUUAAUACGGGGGACUCAUGACGGUACCAUAAGAAUAAGCACCGGCUAACUACGUGCCAGCAGCCGCCGUAACAC
rnacentral:rRNA from 1 species